rnacentral:rRNA from 1 species
CCUACGGGUGGCAGCAGUGAGGAAUAUUGGUCAAUGGGCGCAAGCCUGAACCAGCCAAGUCGCGUGAGGGAUGACGGUCCUAUGGAUUGUAAACCUCUUUUGUCGGGGAGCAAGGCCCGCCACGUGUGGCGGGAAAGAGAGUACCCGAAGAAAAAGCAUCGGCCAACGCCGCGCCAUCAGCCGCGGUAAUACGGAGGAUCCGAGAGUUAUCCGGAUUUAUUAGGUUUAAAGGGAGCGUAGGUGGAUUGUUAAGUCAGUUGUGAAAGUUUGCGGCUCAACCGUAAAAUUGCAGUUGAAACUGGCAGUCGUGAGGACAGUAGAGGUGGGCGGAAUUCGUGGUGUAGCGGUGAAAUGCUUAGAUAUCACGAAGAACUCCGAUUGCGAAGGCAGUUCACUGGACUGCAACUGACACUGAGGCUCGAAAGUGUGGGUAUCAAACAGGAUUAGAUACCCCUGUAGUC